CGUGUAGGCUGCUGCGCAAGUCGGAUGUGAAAUCCCACGGCUCAACCAUGGAAGUGCAUUCGAAACUGCGUAGCUAGAGUUUUGGAGAGGAAGGCGGAAUACUCGGUGUAGAGGUGAAAUUCGUAGAUAUCGAGUGGAACACCGGUGGCGAAGGCGGCCUUCUGGACAAUGACUGACGCUGAAACGCGAAAGCGUGGGAGCAAACA
rnacentral:rRNA from 1 species